CGGGAUGCAGUUUCCAGAGUCAGCCCUUCCUACCCUCCACCCUCAUCCCUCAUGAAGCUCUCCGGGACGGAACGCCCGAGCGAUGUCUCUCUCCAAAGACUGGAAUGCUCAGCUGUGUAAAAGACGAUGCUUGUCUUCUGAUCAUUCUGUUGGGCUUUUGUCUUCUCCUGAGCUCCAGUAUCUGUCAAGAGACCAUUUGUGACUGGCAAAAGAUAACAGUUUAUUAUUAGUCCAUAAAAUGCUAUUCAUCACCCAGAGAUAAGUAUGAAAGUACAGAGAGAAGAGGAUUCAGAGCAAAACAGUGAUCAUGGACACUGGUAGUCUGGAAAUCAUCAAAUGAGUGGGGCCUGAUUGCCAACUUGAAAGUUUGGCUUUAAGUGUACAGUCACCUACUGAUGUGGAGGCAAGUUUUUGUUCAGGCUGUAUGGCAGUGCUGGCAUCGAACUUCAAACUGAAGCCAUGGUCAGACUGAUCCUGUAGGCAAAUUUGAAAUAUGUAUGCACUGUUCCAUUAUACAAAACAGAAACAGCAAAAAAAUUAGUACGAAAAAUCUAUUUCAAAGCCAUAUUCUAGACAGGUCUAUGAGGUGUUUAAACAUAAACCUCAGACUUACAGUAUUUGAAGUUCUACCAUGUAUUAAUGUAUGCAUAUGUGAAUACAAGUCUGUAUUUCUGUAUAGAUUCCAAAAAAAUGAGGGUCUUGAUAUUGUUGCCAGUACAUUUACUGUGAUCAAAACACAGUAGGAGAGGAAGGAGGUAUUUUGCAGACAUAAGCACAGCCUUUUGCUGGCUAGAAAGGCCUGCUAGCAUUUUAUACAAGUCUUCUUGGCAAAGACUAGAGAAUUUUAAGACAUUCAUAAUGAUCAGAACUUCCUGUACAUAUCCAGACCCAUACAAUUUUUUCCAGUUUCUUUUUGCAGAGAAAAGAGGCAAGGAAUUUUAGUCCUCAAAAAAAUGCAAACCAAAUCAACCAAACCAACAAAAAGCCCCACCCCAUAUCCAGUUUUAUUUUUGGCCUGUUUUUAUAUUUUGUAAUUCUGCCAUGUUUCUUUUUAAGAUACUACAAGAAUAGAUCAUCCUGUAAGAAAAAUGCAUUUGACAUACUUAUUUUAUUCUAAAAUCAAAGCAAGUGUUACAUGCCAUUUUGACAGAAAACAUGAAAUUUACUGCAUAAGUUUGAGGUGACUUUAUGGCUUCAUUGUGCAGCCACAGGUGAAGCUUCCAGUUACUGUAAUGAGGUGGGCUUUUUGGUGUCUUGGAAUCAUAGGAUCAGAUGUUAAUUUGGAGGAGGAGUCAUAUUCCUAAAGAAUCUUUCAAAAUGCAUCCUAUGAAACAGCAUGCUUAAAUAGUCAGUAUUUAAAAAAUAAAUAAGCUGUACCAACAGUCAGGAUUUUCCAUUUUCUAUUUAUUGCAUUUAGCAGUUCUGCAUUUUCCAUGGAUUUAAUGAUUUCUUAUGUAAAAUCUAUGCUAAUUUCUCAUUAGACUUUUCCUCAGAAUAAAGUUGAU